rnacentral:lncRNA from 1 species
GUGGCGCCCCCGGCCCGGGAUGACCUCAGAAACCCGACCCGGGGAUGCCAAACAAACUAACCAACUCAAUAUAUGCUUACACAACCUUAACAACACUUCAUAAUAUAAAGUUCUUACAACGUCUUCAAGUUUGUAACUAAAGAUUACAUCAUAAGCUCCUAACUUAAACACAAACACAAGCAUAUUAUAUUAACAUCUUCCUCUACAAGCCUCUUGUUGCCACUAAAACCUUAGUUCAUCACAUUCUUAUCCUUUCCAGAACAUCCUUCUCCAAAAUUCUUUCCUGAGAAAGUUAGUGACAUAAAAGAGUGAGCUAUAAAGCUCAGUGAGCAUAUAUUGUACGAUUCAACUGAGGUUUAUCCAAGAACUAAAACAAUCUUUUGAUAAAAUAAUCAUCAAGAAUUUAUCAAUAUCAUCAAAGGUUCAUCACAGCAAAAUAGUUCUCACAAGAUUAAAACCGAGUAUUCAAGCAUGAUUAGUUCAUCAAUUCAUCAAGUUGGGAUCCCGGCCAGCUAAACAAUCGGUUUAGCUCUACUUCCAAUAAGGAAGCAUCAUCAUCAGUUCAUCAAGUAUCAAUGCAAGAAUACUCGUUUUUCAUCAGUAAAACAUCAUUUAAAUAUUAAACAUCAACAGCGAAUAAGUACAGUAUAUACUUACCUUAAAUCGCUUCUAAAUUUAAAUUCUUUCUCGAUCUCGAACCUCGGUACUAUUAACCCUUCCUAACAAUAUAAAUCACAAUUUGCAAUUAACAAUUUUUUUAUUUUAUUAAAUCUCAAAACCAAAAUUUCUACUAAUAAAAAGCCUUACUAACUAAUUACAAUUAAAUAAAAUAAUAAUAAUAGUAAACAAAUAAUAAAUAUAAAUAAAUAAGAAUAAAAUACGAGGACUUACAAAUUAAAAGCCUUCAGUUUCCUAAUUAGGAAAGCCAACUAGCUUGGUGUAUUUAUACAAGGAAAGUGGGAGAAUUUCUCAAGCUUUCUCGAUGUGGUACCAAGUCCAAUAGAAAGAAAAUGAAAUAUUGAAAAUAAAAUUCUUUACAUAAAGAUGACACUAGAGCUAGUACCAACUAGGCAGUAUGUAAAUAGCUUAAGUUGUUGGUAAAGGCCAUGCUCCUUUCCUAUAUAUAUCUAUCAAGUUUCAUUUUUCUUAUCAAUGUGGUAGCAAAGUAAAGCACAAAAAGAAAAGAAAUUCUAACAAAGCACUCAUGGGUGUUACAAGGGAAGCUGGGCCUACAACCAAUUAAUUAUUGUUGCUCAUAACCUUGGCUCCUUCUAUAUGUUUACAAUAUUCUUCAUUUAUUUAGUCAAUGUGGUUUGUGUAUUUUUCCUCUCAUUGUAAUACACUACUCAUCCCACAUCGAAAAGGUAUUGAAACCUUCUUGCUUUCAACAUCUAUAUAUAUCCCCCAAAUAGCUCACCUUUCUACUUAAAAGGUUUUGAAACCUUUGUAUCUUAGAAAGCUUGCAACCUUUCUCCUGGCUUAAACAUAGCCAAAUAAUAUAAGUUCAAACUUUUUAUUUAGAGAAAAAUUGAUAUGUUUUCUCAUAAUUAGAUAAAUAACAAGAUGAAGGAUGAGUUCUAAAGUUUAUGGACUUCACUAAGUCCCACAUCGAGGGAGUAUAAGAAAGAUAUAAGCUCUUCCUCUAUAUAAGAAGGCUACUAGCCAAUACUAGUAUUUUAUAUCCAACUAAGUAAGUGAUCUUGCUUAGUUUUGGGACGAUUAUUCGUCCCACAUCGAGAAGAUACACUAAAGUUAUCACUUCUUUCUCUAUAUAACAAUGGUAUGAAGCCUACACUAGCAUCUUAUAACAAACUAAGCUAAACAUGUCGCUUAGUUUUUGGGACAACUCUAGUUGUCCCACAUCGAGAAGAUUUUGAAUAGGUCUUCUUCCCAACUCCAUAUAAUGUCAAUAGAUCUAUUUGCUCAAAGUAACAAAAGAGAACUCACCCAUUCUCAUAAUGAGAAGUUGAGCAUAGAACUUAUAAAGUUCCAUAUAAAUUAGACAAACACAAAUAUUCUUUCAUGACUUUACAUAUAAGUCAAACAGGGCAUGAAAGUCCAUAAGUUUACUCUUACAAGAAUAGAAGUAGAGAUAAAAAUAAUCAUCCAAGUCUUAUUUAUUUGUAAAACACUUGUCCCACAUCGAGAAGAUGUGAGUACAAGUCUCAUGUCUCAACUAUAUAUUGAGAUUGAGCAUGAACCUACUAACUUAAAAGUUGGGCUUGGUAACUUAACUAAGCCUAACAUUUGCCCCAAAUAAUGAUUGGGUUGAUAUCUUCCAAAAUCUUAUUUUCGGAUUGAACACAACUUUUAAGAAGGAAGAAUAUAUAAUAAUAUUCUUCAAAAUACAUAUAAUAUAAUUUAUGUAUUUUUAAAUAAUAUAAAGUCGGAAUAUUACAUCCUUCCCCCCUUAAAAGAAUUUCGUCCUCGAAAUUUAAAUCAUACCUGACAUAUCGAAUAAAUUUGGAUAUUUUGUCCUCAUCAUUUCCUCGGGUUCCCAAGUUGCCUCCUCACAUUAUGAUUUCUCCAAAUAACUUUCACUAAAGGUAUGAUCUUAGUUCUCAACUUCUGCUCGCGACGAUCUGCUAUUUCAACUGGGUGUUCUUCGUACUGCAUAUUUUCCUGAAUUUCUAUUGGUUCAUAAUCUAUAAUAUGCGAUGGAUCUGAGACAUACUUUCGCAGAUAUGACACGUGAAAUACGUUAUGAAUAUGUCCUAGACUUGGUGGGAGUGCUAGCUCGUAUGCUACUUCUCCAAUUCUUCUAAGAACCUCAAAUGGCCCAAUAUAACGAGGACUUAAUUUUCCUUUCUUCCCGAAUCUCAUAACACCCUUCCAUGGAGAAAUUUUAAGAAAUACAAAAUCUCCCUCCUUAAACACAACAUCUCGGCGGUCCUUGUCUGCAUAACUUUUUUGCCUACUCUGAGCCGUUAAAAUCCUUUGUUGUAUCAACUUCACCUUCUCCGUAGUUACCCGAAUUAACUCUGGCCCCAACAAUCUUCUUUCUCCAACUUCAUCCCAACAUAAUGGUGUUCUACAUCGACGUCCAUAAAGAGCUUCAUAUGGAGCCAUCCCAAUUGUCGCUUGAUAACUAUUAUUAUAUGCAAAUUCUGCUAAAGGUAAAUGUUCUUCCCAACUUCCUUUAAAAUCCAACACACAAGCUCUUAACAUGUCUUCUAAAAUUUGAAUUGUACGUUCCGAUUGACCAUCCGUCUGAGGGUGAAAUGCCGUGCUCAUACUUAGUUUUGUACCCAUCUCUUCUUGAAAACUAUUCCAAAAUCUCGAAGUAAAUCUGGGAUCUCUGUCAGACACAAUCGACACAGGUACUCCAUGCAACCUAACUAUUUCUCGUAUAUACAACUUUGCUAACUUCUCUAGAGGUGAUGAUUCUGAUAUAGCCAGAAAGUGGGCACUCUUUGUUAGUCUAUCCACGAUAACCCAGAUGACAUCAUUUCCUCUUUGUGUCCUUGGCAAUCCUAAUACAAAAUCCAUGGUGAUGUGUUCCCAUUUCCAUUCAGGGACAGGUAGUGAUUGUAAUAAACCUCCUGGCCUUUGAUGCUCCGCUUUCACUUGUUGACAAACUAAACAUCUUGCCACCCAUUCCGCAAUUUCUCUCUUCAUCUUAGGCCACCAAAAAUGUUGCUUUAAGUCCUUAUACAUCUUCGUAGAUCCAGGAUGUACCGAAAAAGAUGAUGAAUGUGCGUCAGACAAUAUUUCCUUCUUAAUCUCUAUAUCAGAUGGUACACAUAUUCGAUCGCGAAACCUCACGAUGUCGUCGUUUCCUUUCCUAAAAUCUUUCUUUCCCGAUUCUGAAUUAGAAUUAUUCAAAAUUUCUUUUAAUCGUUCAUCUUGAAUCUGACUUGCCUUUAUCUUUUCUAAUAACAUCGGUUUGACCUUAAUUUGACACAAUAAGCUCUCAUCCUUCUUUUGCAUACCAAAUUCCAUUCUAAAUCUUUCUUCUUUAAGAUCUAAUGAUUCUACUAUAACACUCGCACAAUUUCCGACUUCCUUCCUACUUAACGCAUCAGCUACAACAUUCGCCUUACCAGGGUGAUAUAAAAUUUCACAAUCAUAAUCCUUUAACAACUCCAGCCAUCUUCUCUGCCUCAUAUUUAAAUCUUUCUGUGAAAAGAGGUACUUUAAACUUUGAUGAUCUGUAAAAAUUUUACACUUUCCUCCAUACAAGUAAUGCCUCCAGAUUUUAAGCGCGAAAACUACUGCAGCCAAUUCUAAAUCGUGGGUGGGGUAAUUCUUCUCAUGAUUUCUUAAUUGUCGAGAUGCAUAAGCAAUUACCUUAUCACGUUGCAUUAACACACAUCCUAAUCCUUUCCUUGACGCAUCACUAUAAAUAACAAAAUCUUCAGUUCCAUCUGGUAAUCCAAGUACUGGAGCAGACGUUAGUCUUUUCUUUAAUUCAAUAAAACUUUUCUCACAUUCCUCCGACCAAACAAACUUAACGUCUUUCCUUGUGAGAUUUGUUAAUGGUCCAGCUAUCUUAGAGAAAUUUUGAACAAACUUCCUAUAAUAUCCGGCCAAACCUAAGAAACUUCGAAUCUCUGUCACCGUCCUUGGUCUUUCCCAAUUCAUGAUCACCUCAAUCUUCGAAGGAUCAACUGAAAUUCCUUCUUCUGAAACUACAUGUCCAAGAAAACUUACUCUCCUUAACCAAAACUCACAUUUUGAAAACUUCGCAUACAACUGCUCUUUCCUCAAAGUUUCUAAGACAAUCCUUAAAUGUUCCUCAUGUUCCUUCUCAGUCCUUGAGUAAAUCAGAAUAUCAUCGAUAAACACAAUUACAAACUUAUCCAGAUAAUUCCUAAAUACUCGAUUCAUCAAAUCCAUGAAUACCGCAGGUGCAUUUGUUACCCCAAACGGCAUCACUACAAACUCAUAAUGACCAUAUCGAGUCCUAAACGCCGUCAAUGGAAUGCUUUCUUUCUUUACUCUCAACUGAUGAUAGCCUGAGCGCAAAUCUAUCUUUGAAAAGUAAGUGGCUCCUUGUAAUUGAUCAAAAAGAUCAUCUAUUCGUGGAAGUGGGUAUUUAUUCUUUACAGUCAACUUAUUCAGUUCUCUAUAAUCAAUACAUAAUCGUAGAGAACCAUCCUUCUUUUUCACAAAUAACACCGGUGCUCCCCAAGAAGAAACACUUGGUCUAAUAUACUUUUUAUCCAACAACUCUUGUAAUUGUACCUUGAGUUCCGCUAACUCGGUUGGUGCCAUCCUAUACGGUGUUUUCGAUACUGGUUGUGCCUCCGGAAUCAAUUCAAUACCAAACUCAACCUCUCUUUCGGGUGGCAAUCCUGGCAAAUCCUCGGGAAAAACAUCUAAAAACUCUCUAACCACAUGGGUAUUCUCUACUUUAUUUUUAACUUCCUCUUCACCAAUCACAUAAGCUAGAAACCCUUCACAUCCUUUUUUUAACAUCUUAUAAGCUUUCAGAACUGAUAUCAUGACACUAGGUUUUUCUAACCUGUCUCCUUUAAAAUAAACUUUCUUUUUAUCUGGGCCCCUUAAACAUAUUCGUUUUUUACUACAAUCCAAAUUGGCCUUAUACUUUGUCAACCAAUCCAUUCCCAAAAUUACUCCAAAAUCCUUCAAUUCUAAAGGUAACAAGUCUACUAGAAAAGUAUGUCCGCUAACUAUAAGGGUGCAAUCUUUAUAAACUUUGUUCACAAACAAAUUCCUACCGUUAGGGAGUUUUACUAGUAAUGCAUUAUCUAAACUUUGCGCAGGAGUAUUCAACUUAUCCACAUACUUCAAAUCCACAAAAGAAUGAGUUGAUCCAGAAUCAAAUAGAACAUGAACAUCUUGAGAACAAAGUUGGAGCGUACCUGACACCACAUCAUUCGAUAUUUCAGCAUCCUGAGUCGUCAUUGCGUAGGUUCUUGCCACUGCCCUAGGUGUUGAUUGCUGAAAAGGUCUUGAUGUGGUAGUUCUAUUUUCUUUAGUUUCAACUUCUUGCUUGACUCUUUUCUGUGGGCAGUCCCUUGAUACAUGUCCCGGUUUUCCGCAACUAUAGCAAGAAAUCACUUUCGGCCUUGGGCAUUGAGUCGCUAUAUGCCCCCUUUCUCCACAAUUAUAACACAACCCAUCAGCUCGGUAACAAAUGUCACCACCAUGCUUUAGUCCACACUUCUUACACUCCGGUAUGGUGGUCUUCCUAUCAUUUCCCGGGAAACUAUCUUUCUUUGUCUUCUGAAACUUCUUAUCAUCCUUCUUAUAUCCUGAAUUAUCACGCAGUUCUGUUUCUCUUCCUCUUUUCUUAUUGUUGAAGAAUUGGGUGCGAGCUUCAUACUCCCUUUCGGCAAUCCUAGCUUUUCCCACCAACUUAUCAAAUUGCUCUAGUUCCAACAAAGAGACCCUUUCUCUAAUUUGAGGUUUCAGUCCCUCCUGAAAUCUCUGACAUUUCCUAGCUUCAGUAUUAACCUGAUGAGGGGCAAACCUAGAAAGCUCCAAAAACUUCGACAAAUAUUCUGACACAGACAUUCCUUCUUGCUUCAAUCCUAAAAACUUCAUCUCCAUCUCAUUUUUCAUACACGCAGGAAAAUAUUUAUCAAAGAACAACUCCUUAAACCUCAUCCAAGUCAUUGUUGAACAAUCUUCCGUCUGUUUAACAGUGUCCCACCAAAAUACUGCUUCCCCCCUUAAAGAGUGUGUUGCGAAUUUCACCUUUUGUUCAUCCAAGCAUUCAGAAAUUUCUAUCACUUUCUCCAUUUCCUUAAUCCACGUAUUCGCAACAUGUGGAUCCAAAUCUCCUUUAAAUAUCGGGGGAUCAGCAUCCUUAAAGGUCUUGUAAGUACACCUUCGUUUAUUCUCACCUUCUCGCUCCGGAUUAUUUAUACGAUCUUGUUCUUCCACACGAUCAGUGUUUACCUUAAUUGUAUUCGUAUUUUCUUGAUCUCCCCUAAUAGUCUUCAACAUAUUCCUCAUUUCCUCCAAAACCAACAUCAUUUCAGGACUAAUUUGAACGCUAGGCCCAGCUCCACUACUAUUUUCUUCAUUCAUCGUUACCUAAAAAUCAUAUAAUAUAUAUUAGAACUCUGAUCUAAUCCACAAUUCAUACUAGCACGAUAGUAAGUACUAAACAUAUAGUUUAUUCCACACAUUCACAACUAAGGUCCACAUAUCCCUUAGACAUAUUCUCCUAACUUAAAAACACACUAGUCUAGAAUCUUAAUUCUACUUUCGCCGAUACUCGAACCUAUAGCUCUGAUACCACUUGUGGCGCCCCCGGCCCGGGAUGACCUCAGAAACCCGACCCGGGGAUGCCAAACAAACUAACCAACUCAAUAUAUGCUUACACAACCUUAACAACACUUCAUAAUAUAAAGUUCUUACAACGUCUUCAAGUUUGUAACUAAAGAUUACAUCAUAAGCUCCUAACUUAAACACAAACACAAGCAUAUUAUAUUAACAUCUUCCUCUACAAGCCUCUUGUUGCCACUAAAACCUUAGUUCAUCACAUUCUUAUCCUUUCCAGAACAUCCUUCUCCAAAAUUCUUUCCUGAGAAAGUUAGUGACAUAAAAGAGUGAGCUAUAAAGCUCAGUGAGCAUAUAUUGUACGAUUCAACUGAGGUUUAUCCAAGAACUAAAACAAUCUUUUGAUAAAAUAAUCAUCAAGAAUUUAUCAAUAUCAUCAAAGGUUCAUCACAGCAAAAUAGUUCUCACAAGAUUAAAACCGAGUAUUCAAGCAUGAUUAGUUCAUCAAUUCAUCAAGUUGGGAUCCCGGCCAGCUAAACAAUCGGUUUAGCUCUACUUCCAAUAAGGAAGCAUCAUCAUCAGUUCAUCAAGUAUCAAUGCAAGAAUACUCGUUUUUCAUCAGUAAAACAUCAUUUAAAUAUUAAACAUCAACAGCGAAUAAGUACAGUAUAUACUUACCUUAAAUCGCUUCUAAAUUUAAAUUCUUUCUCGAUCUCGAACCUCGGUACUAUUAACCCUUCCUAACAAUAUAAAUCACAAUUUGCAAUUAACAAUUUUUUUAUUUUAUUAAAUCUCAAAACCAAAAUUUCUACUAAUAAAAAGCCUUACUAACUAAUUACAAUUAAAUAAAAUAAUAAUAAUAGUAAACAAAUAAUAAAUAUAAAUAAAUAAGAAUAAAAUACGAGGACUUACAAAUUAAAAGCCUUCAGUUUCCUAAUUAGGAAAGCCAACUAGCUUGGUGUAUUUAUACAAGGAAAGUGGGAGAAUUUCUCAAGCUUUCUCGAUGUGGUACCAAGUCCAAUAGAAAGAAAAUGAAAUAUUGAAAAUAAAAUUCUUUACAUAAAGAUGACACUAGAGCUAGUACCAACUAGGCAGUAUGUAAAUAGCUUAAGUUGUUGGUAAAGGCCAUGCUCCUUUCCUAUAUAUAUCUAUCAAGUUUCAUUUUUCUUAUCAAUGUGGUAGCAAAGUAAAGCACAAAAAGAAAAGAAAUUCUAAC